ensembl:lncRNA
GCAGUUCUCCCAUUGUGGGCCUCCUGCAUCACACUUAUGACAGCAGCACAACAUCACCGCCCAAUCUUUAGAAGAUCAACUUAUCAUUCCAUCAGCUCCACCAUCAGUGGCUGGACUGAGGGCGGACACCCAUCGAUUAAUACUUCAGCAGAAGAUUACAUUUCUUUAACUAAAAUAGAAUUACUACUCAUAAGUUUUUCUUCUUUUUAAAAAAAUAUAUAGGAUAUAAGUUGUUUUCAAUAGCCGUCUGAAAAUCAAUCACUUAAACUGUGUGACCAUUUCCCCUGAAUGUAGAAUCAAUUUUUUAACUUUGGUGUUGGAUGAGUAAUUACCAAUUAA